GCACUGAAAUGGCAUAGUAAUGUAGUAUUUUGGCGGCGUGGCUGCUUCGUCGUCGAAGAACCUUCCGAUGCAAUUUUCCGCUGGCAUGUCCCAUUGAAUGUCAUUGCUUUUAUCAUGGCAUCCAACACUUGCAGAUGUGACUCAAAAGGGGGUUCUGAAGCUGAUGAACUUGGAUGGCCUGACAGUCUACCAUACCAACAACCAUCUCCAAGUACACAAACUUGAAAACUUUCUAAGAUUCGUACACACCUUCAGGACAAAGAGGAGAUAAAUUAAGUAUUGGAAAGCUUAAAACCAGCCACCCAGAACCACUCUGCCUGGAGAAAGAAGACAAUAUUUGGCAUGAUUUGCUUCAUCUACUACAGGUGACUCCGUUAGGACACCAGGAACAUGAUUGCAGUCCAGGAUACCAUACUGCAACCUCAAUCCAUCGAAUGUAAUUCAGUGAGAUAUAUAUGUUCUCAUUUACCAGACUUCAGUGUUCAAUUCAAUUCAAUUUGUUAGCUUACUGAUUGCUGCAUACCUACCAUUUC